rnacentral:lncRNA from 1 species
GAGUGUUACAUAAUUCAAAAAUUCCAAAACAAAAUACAAUAGUAUAACAAUACUGACAAUAAACUAAACACACAUAACGCGUACACACAUAUAUAUGUGUGUGUAUAUAUAGUGCAUUUAUAGAAAUAUCAUAAAACGGUGCAUCUCUUCUUUGGAUUCUGUUAAUACGGAAUAUUUUGUGCACCGAACUCCGAUAUGCUUCUAUGGUUUCCCAUUGCAUUUGUAAGGAUAAGGAAGGCAAGGUUUUGAAGCAUGUGGUGCUGGUUUUAAUGCAAUGGGUGGUUUUUUAGUGGCUAUACAUUUGCCAUAGAUAUUCUUCUUGCAUAUUGGUCCUUUGUGUAAUGGAUCAUAGGGUAUUUUUCCAUCUGAAAAAAAAAAAACAUAGAAUAUAUGUAUAAUUAGUGGAUAAUCAAAAUAUAUAUCGGCAAGAAAAAUUAAACAGUAAAUUUAACUGACUAUUUGUAUAAAUGGGGUCAUUUGAUCGGAAAAGAGUUAUUUCGGAAUUUGUUAUCCCGUAUAUGAGAUAACUUAUUCCAUCACUGUGGCCUAAAUGGUAUGAUAAAUAAUUCCGGGUACUAAUUAAUACCUCACACCAAACAUGAAAUAAAAUUUCGAGACUAUUUAUCUCUUAUACCUGAGGCCAAACGACCCCUAUACUAUUUUUUUUUUUAUGUAUUUUACAUUCUUUUUUCAUAAAACUUAAACUCAAUUCAAAUAAUUAAAGAGAAAUAUUUCUUUUUAUUUUUUUAGGUUAAAACUCCAUUAUUAAGGAGAAAGGAAAUAUUUUCAUUUGACCAAAGAGUACUUGUGGUGGAGGUGAAGCGGUAAGUACUCCAUCAUCCUUAAUUAAAAAUUUUGAGUUCCAAGUGUAUAGUUGUCUUUAUAAAAGAAAAUUUAUUUGUGAAGUUAAAGUUAGUCAAAUCUCAAUAUAAAUAUCAAACAUCGAAUGAAAAUUUAAAAAAAAAAAAAUACCUAACAAUCUCCUCGAGUUUGUUGAGGAUAGACAAAAAAAAUUAAGACAAAAAAGGCUAUGAAUAGUAAAGAGAUGCUUUGUGAUUCAUGGCUUCAAAAGAUAUAUGGUGAAAAAGGAAUAUAUUUAUUAUUUUUACAAGAUAUACGUGUAUAUGAUGAGG